GAGCGCAUUGUUCGUGUUGUUACUACAGCGAUAGAAAUGCCGUAAAAACAGAAGAUAUUGGAUUUAUACGAUCCUUUGUUGAGCCAUAACAUAACGAUCUCUAACCAAAACUCUUUUUUUUUUUUUUUUUAUCUCUCCGAGUAUUCCUUUCCAGGCAUGUCCAGACUGCGCUACUAAAAUAAACUUUUCUGUGUGGAAACUUGACCCCACCAUCACUCUAAGAAACAGCUAUAUUACAGGAAUUGGCUUGAUUAAAACGACCCCCGAUCACUGCUGGCGUGAGUGCGCCACUCGGUGAGUAGUUCUGUUUGGUUUCAUGUCCUCACGGUGUAGCGUGUUUCUGUUGGCGCGUUCGCAGUGGCCCAGUGUGUUCGUUCAAUUCCAAGCCGUCGGCGUCCUUUUCAGAUGCACUGCUUACAGCACCAUAGGUCGUUUGAAAGACAUCGCGAGCCCACAUCCAUGGGGCGAGUGAAAAGUUAUUCGGACGGAUACUGUAAUUACAAGUUAUCUUUGUGGACAGCUAGCUCUGCCUUUUAAGGAGCCCGCCUAGCCAGUGGUCUAAUCGUGUUAGUGAGGCGGGAUGGUAAGUGCGACGCUCGCUGAUGCUUCUAGCCCGGCAUCGCCUCUAAGCGCAAGGCUCUGAACUGGUGUACGUAUGGCAACUAUGAGAUUUGAGCGGUAACAACAAGUCCUCGAUCUGUGCGCACCGCAAGUGUGCCCAGGCAGGCAGUGGUUCGCGAGUGCUUGUCGUGGAGUGCGGAGUCGCGCCAGGGGUGUGCCGCUGCCUCCGGGGCCCAGGGUCGGGCCGCACGCGACUCACCUCGCACAGCGACGCUCGCGUGGAAGGCUAACAAGGCUCACAACACACACAGCUCACGGCACGUACCGCCCGAGUGCGCCAUCUCUCUCCGAGCAGGUGCGCGCCGCCACUGCCGCCGCUCCCCGAGAUAAGGCGCUAAGCCAGCCUUAUCAGUGGAGCGCCCGCCCGCCGCUAAUGACGGCGCGCCAGCCGGGCACUAGAAGGUUCCGUCGUCGCGAGGAAGCGACACUGCUGGGCGACACGCCCAAUGAUUCUGUGCCUCAGAGCCUAAGUCACUGUGUUUUAUAUCUACCUCCAUAUACGUUCUGAGAAUGAAUCUUACAAUGGGAAAUAUCGGUUUUUUAUUUUUAUACACGCAAUUCCUGUUACCAACAAUAGCGAAUGUCAAAAAAAAAAUUAAAACUAACUCCAUAUGCGUGUGGCCUGCAAGAAAGAAUCUUAUAGUUCCAAAAGCCAGAAGCAACUUUUUAACUUGACUUGCGUUUGUCCGACUCAAACAAAGCUUUGUUUGGACUUUGUAACUCUCUCUAAACACUUUAGAAAUUCCCCCUCCCCCCCUUUGAGUGACAUAAGAUGUAAUGGUUCUAUAGGAAACGAACUUUUAAGAUGUAAUCUGCAGUAAAACAAGAAUUGACUAUUUCGGACUCCAGCUCGUUUAGCUCUGAGGUACAAGGUUAGUUAUUGAAGAAAGAAUUAAAUUUAGUUUAACGCCUUUCCUCCGUAUGCUCCUGAUUAUUCGUGACACGGAGAAAACCAACGAGGUCUUUCAAAAUCCAUUUCAGUGAACACAUCUAUAUACAUAUGCUCCUGGUUAAUCUUGACAGUAUUUUGUUAGUCUUAUCCAUGUACUUCUGGUGAUUUCUGAGAAAAAAUCGCUCUAUGAAUUUUUUUUCUCUCGAUAUGAGAUAUGCAAUACUAUUCAGAGUUUCGUUUAAUUGGUGAAUUCCUGAUACCAAAUUAAAAGUAUAAUAUUUUAAUCAGUUGAGAUUCAAAAAAAAAUUCAUUACUCAGACGAUGUCUAUACUAACUAAAGCUGAGAAACACUAUCAUACAAGACGAUUCCCCUUCCCCUUGAGGUCUGGCGAAGCCCUCCUUCUCUUGCAACCGUGAGAGAGCAUCCCGCAUCCCACAUAGAAAACAAAUAAUAUUUACCUCAACACAUGUCGAAUCUGUUGGUUAAAGGCGGAACUACUUGGCCAUGUUGUAGCCAAAUGUCGUUGUAACCAAAACUUCUAAAGCCAAAUGCCAUUGUAGUCUAAUGUCGUCGUAGCUGUUGGAGUUGAAUUCAGUUGGAGCAACUGAAGCAGUUGGAGCCAAAUAUAAUUGGAGCAAUUGGAGAAGUUGGAGGCAAAUGUAAAUGGAUCAGUUUGGAGCAGUUAGAGCCAAAUCCAAUUGGAGCACUUGAAGCCAAAUGCCGUGGGAGCGAUUGGAGCUAAUAUAGAUGGGUUCUAUCGUAUACUUUCGCAUUCUAGUGAGUUGAAUGUGCUGCCAUUUUUAAUGUGCUUCCAAAUGUGUUUCCUUUUUUUAAAGUGCUUCCUUUUUUUAAAGUGCUUCCUUUUUUAAAGUGCUUCCUUUUUUAAUGUGCUUCCUUUUUUAAUGUUCUUCCAAAUAUGCUUCAUUUUAAAUGUGUUUUUUAAUGUGCUUCCAAAUGUACUUUAUUUUAUUUGUGAGUGCUUUCAAAUGUGCUUCCUUUUUUGAAUGUUAAUGUGUUUCCAAAUGUACUUCCUUUUCGUUGAGUGUGUUUACAAAUGUGCUUCCGUUUUGAAUGAACUUCCAAAAGUGCUUCCUUUUAGAUGAGUGUGCUUCCAAAUGUGCUUCCUUUUCGUUGAUUGUGCUUCCAAAUGUACUUCCUUUUUAAAUGUGCUUCUAAAUGUACUGAAUGUGCGUAGUCAAGUCUGUAGUCAGGACUAAAUAUUUAAUGGUUCAACACCUCUUGAUCUUGUAGUAAGCAUAAAACAUUGUCAUGAUUUCUUUGUCCUAUAAUAAUCAUAUAACAUGCUAUGUUGGCCUUUUUAUACAAUGAUUUUUUUUCUGUAUGGCUGUUGUAGUCAUGUAGCCUUAAAGACAUGUAGCAUUGUAACCGUUUAGCCAAGUUCGAAUCUGAUUGGUUAAUCUUAGAUUUAUAGACAAUAUAAGUAUCACAUUUAAAUAAAACAAUUAAAAUUAACUGUUGUUUUAACUCGUGUAUUAAUGGUGAAAUGUUGUUGUUUUGACUCGCAUAUUAUUCCAGCGACCGUGAGUAUAUAAUUAGGGACUGCACGACGCGACAAUCAGUUGGUUAUUGUCUGCAUUGGUGUAAAAAUUGCCUAGUUUGACUCAACUGAUACUAUUCUUGAGAACUCGAUAGCGUCUUUAUCAACUUUAACGCCGAACUCGAUGGAGGUUGUAUCAUCGUCGACGGGACCCUGACGGCAGCGGCAACGACAGCGAUGUAAAACUAAAUGGAAUGUGUAUCAUCACCACCGAUAACACUAAAGAAGACUUCAACAGGCAUACUUCCACCAGCAGAAAAUACUUUAAUUUCUGCAGUGCUGGCUGCAGAGAAAACCUCGAUGAAUGACGUUUUGCAAGGGAAGGAGACUUCAAUGGUUUGAGUACCACUGGCAUCAAUGAUGUCCACUAAAGAUGCAUUGACGUCUUCCCAGCAUCGGUGUCGUUACUGUAACACCAUCAAAAACUUGAAAAUUCGUAUGUAAUUCACGAUUGUAAUAAUAAAUCUAAACUUGUUAAAGAUCAGUGCAACAGGUGUUAUAACCAGUUUAUACACUAUGGAAAACUGAAAAGACGCACCAGGAAUUGUGACGGACUGGUUUCGCAUUAAUCAAGACCAAAAUGUAUCUUCUGUGGCAGUAUGAUUGCGCUCAUGUUCAGUGUACGACAUCUUGAAAUAGAUCACUGUUCCUUUAAUGAAAUUUUCAGAUUUAAGCUUUGUGCUGUAUGUGGUAAACAAAUGUCACGUGUAAAUACUCUGAAAUUACAUGCCAAUAAAUGUAAAGGACUUGCUUCGCACUCUAAGAAGACUGUAUAAAUCGAGAAUCGCUAGUAAUUUGCUUGUUUUUGUACUUGUGGGAGUUAUGUAAUGAAUUUUAAUGUUUUGGAAA